rnacentral:rRNA from 1 species
UACGGAGGGUGCAAGCGUUGUUCGGAAUCAUUGGGCGUAAAGCGCGUGUAGGCGGCUUGGCAAGUCGGUUGUGAAAGCCCGGGGCCCAACCCCGGAACUGCAUCUGAAACUGCCUGGCUAGAGUCCCGGAGAGGAAGGCAGAAUUCCCGGUGUAGGGGUGAAAUCCGUAGAUAUCGGGAGGAAUACCAGCGGCGAAGGCGGCCUUCUGGACGGUGACUGACGCUGAGACGCGAAAGCGUGGGGAGCGAUCCGG